rnacentral:misc_RNA from 1 species
CUACUCUAGAAAGCAAUAAAAAUAGUCAUUUAUUGUUCUUGUACAACCGAGCAGAUCUUCAGACUGUGUAUGCUUGUUGAAUUGUGUCUAUGUCUAGGCCCUUCAAUCUCACCACUGAUUCUACGUGACCCUUAAGCGUAUGAAGUUCCCUCAAUCUGGCAAUUUCAGCUCUCCUUUUAGCUUCUUCAGCCAUCUGAUUGAGUUCAGUGAAAUGGGUUCGCUCUGUGAACAUCUUGGUGUCUGGUGGUUGUAACCCAUGCAAUGUUCUCUGCGCAUGUGCCCACUGAAGCUCACGUUGUUCCUUACCGAAAUCCUUUUGCCUUGUGAAAGCAAUCCUUUGCUCAAUCACAAGAUCCCAGGCCCUACCACUCAGAGCAUAGCGUAUAAAGAACUUGAUGAAGUCAAGUGGGAUGUAAAAGAUGAUGUUAUAAAGCCAAAUUACACCAGCCCAACCCCAACCAAUCCCUUCAAUUGCAGCAAAACUCCAAUUUGCGUAGACUGCAAUCAAAGUAGCAAUCAGCUGAGCAACCAAAAAAGCCACCACGAGUAGAAAUCCAGGACGUUCAACAUACGACCAACUUCGAGAACGUGUCACAAAAAUAAGGGCCUGACUGAUAGUGCUCACUUGCAAGUAAAUUGCUGAUGCAAGCAUUCUGAAGUCAUCAGGAGCUGUUUUCUCAAGAGUUGAUACUCCAAAUACCCUAGGGAAGAAGUCUGUCUUAUAUGCUGCCCAAAAGAAGAUGACUGUCAUCAUUGCCAGGUAACUACCAAGAACAAUGCCAGUAGUAAAAAUCUCUGCCAGCUUCCAGCUGUCUGGCAGAGGAGACGGUUUCACCCUAUCCUUGGAUAUUGUCAUAAUGGUACCAUCAUUAAGAAUAGCAAUAAUAAGCACCAUAAAAGGUGGAAAGUCAAACUUCC